rnacentral:rRNA from 1 species
GACGAGCCACCCAAACGUUUAUUCGGAAUUACUGGGCUUAAAGGGUGCGUAGGCGGUGCAGCAAGUCGGGAGUGAAAUACCUCAGCUUAACUGAGGAACUGCUUUCGAUACUGCUGUGCUUGAGUAAGACAGAGGUAAGCGGAACUUAGGGUGGAGCGGUGAAAUGCGUUGAUAUCCUAAGGAACACCGGUGGCGAAGGCGGCAUUCUGGACCGAUAUUGACGCUGAGGAGCGAAAGCCAGGGGGAGCAAACGGG